CGUAAUUUAAAAGUUAAUUGGCAACAGGUGAAUACAAUUACAAUGGCUAAUCACAUACGUUUUGAAAUCUUAUUCUUAAUGUUUGACGCAAGUUGCAUUAAAAAGUAUAAAUAGGUUUCAGAAUUGUGUUGUUGUUUUAGAACGUUGCUUUCACGAUCAUUUAAGAGCACUUAUAUGCAUGGACAACGGAUUUCAUCUUAUGAGGUGUGUUACCUUUAACCAUAUGGAUGAUGAUGUAUUUGUGCAAAUUUUGUGAUUGCUCUCUGAAGACAGUUAAGGGAUAUGUUAAUCAUCAAAUCGUACACAGACAUGAAGCAAAUGCUCAGUUUCCAUGUUGCUUCCCAGAAUGCAAAUGUAAAUUCUCAAAAUACAAUGCUCUCAAAGCUCAUGUUUAUCGCCAUCACAAAAGACCACAUACUCAUUUUGAUGAUUCGACGGGCACGUUUGUUUGCAACAAUACAGACUGUCAACAACAAUUUACAGACAUGAACAAUGUCCUUUCUCAUCUCAGGUCACAUUUAGCCAAGGGAGAGGUGGUGUGUUGUCCUUUUGAAAAAUGUGACAAAAAAUUCAGUUUAAGAUCAAGUUUCACUGCCCAUGUUUCACGAAAGCACAGGACUUCUACAUUUGCACAAUUACGGAUUAUAGAUACUUUAUCUGAGCAACCUUCUUCAGCAUUUUUUGAUGUUACUGAGGAUGAGGUUGAUGAAAGUGAAUUCACAGACUCCCUGACGAAAUGUAACGCAAAGUCAUUGUACAUGAAAAAUCUCUGCCUGUUUUAUAUGCAGCUACAAGCAAAAUACCUGGUGCCAUCGUCAACCAUUCAGAUGAUUGUGGAGGAAUUCAGUGGUUUAAAUUAUAUCUGUUAUCAGUACACACAGAAGAUGUUCAGGGAAAUACUCAAGUCAAAAACGGCCCUCUCACAAUGUGAGAUUGAAUCUGUGGUGCAGACUUUGCAAGGCCAAGAUUUACAUUCAGCUUGUAAUUCAUUACUUUCCACAGAAUACCAAAGAAGACAGUAUUAUCAGAAAAAUGUUUCGUACGUGCAUCCACAAAGUAUGUGUCUUGGUCGUGAUGAGAACCGAAACCAACGUUAUGCACAGUAUAUUCCAUUGAAGAACACUUUAAAAACCAUGUUAAUAGACCCAGUGGUGUGGGAGCAGUGUGCCAGACAUCAGCAUGUACACUCUUCUGUGUUCUCUGACAUCUGUGAUGGCUCUGUAUUCAAAUCCAAUGACUUGUUUAAGCAGCCUGAGAUUACACUCCAACUUAUCUUGUACCAGGAUGCCUUUGAGAUUGUGAAUCCCCUUGGGUCAGCUAAAAAAAGACACAAAAUGAUUGGAGUGUAUUUUACACUUGGCAACUUUGAGCCAUUUUACAGAUCAUGCAUUGAUAACAUUCAGUUAUCACUUUUGUGUUAUGAGAGAGACUUUAACUAUUUUGGUCAAACCAAGAUUUUUGCUAAGUUGUUGGCAGAUGUCAAAGAACUUGAAGAGCAUGGAUUUGUGACAUCUUCAGGUGACAUAGUACGUGCAACAAUAGUGGCUAUUAUCGGUGAUAAUUUGGGGUCCCACUGCAUCGGUGGGUACUCACAGAACUUCAGUACUGCCAAGCAUUGCUGUAGGUAUUGCUUGGUAUCUCGCAGUGAACUUCAGAAUGUGUGUGUAGACUUUCCCAAUCGCACAGUUGAGUCCUAUAAGGCGGCAGUGGAAACUCUAAGGACGACCGAAGAAAAUGUUGUUAAUGGGUUGAAGUUUGACUCCAUUUUCAACUCUCUCAAGUAUUUUCAUGUUGCUCAGCCUGGCCUUCCCCCAUGCCUUGGGCACGAUUUGUUUGAAGGCGUUGUAGUUAUUGAUCUUGGCAUUUUCUUGGAAUACUUUGUAAAACGGAAGUGGUUUUCAUAUACACAGCUGAACAGGAGACUUGCACAAUUCAAAUAUGUGGGUUCUGAUGCUGGUUCUGCCCCCUCCCAGAUAUGUGAAAAAGGCAGAAAGUUAGGUGGUCAAGCAGCUGAGAACUGGUGUCUCCUCAGAUUUCUUCCUGUCAUAAUUGGAGACCGAGUAGAGUCACAAGACCCUGUAUGGCAACUGACUGUUAAGUUGAAAGAACUGGUUGAGCUAGUGUGUGCUCCCAAGAUUACCACAGCACAGAUUGCAUAUCUCAAUGUCUUAAUACCAGAAUAUCUGGAAACAAGAAAGGAGCUGUUUCCUGGUGAAAAUUUGAAACCAAAACAUCAUUACAUGCUUCACUAUACAUCACUCAUUUUAAGUCUUGGACCUUUAAUUCGUUUGUGGUCAUUGAGAUUUGAAAGCAAACAUUCCUACUUCAAAAGAAGUGUGAGAAGAACACAGAACUUCAAAAAUGUAUGCAAGACAUUGUCACACAACCAUCAACUUCUUCAAGCAUAUCUUCACUCACGGUCCUUUUUUUCACCAAAGCUUAAAAGUGUUGACUUGGCCACAUACUCUCCUCAUUUGUACAGUGAUGCUGUGUGCAAAGCUGUUGAGACAAGCUUGCUUAAUGAACCAGACUUUGUUUCCACACGUGUAGAAUACAAGGGUACCCUGUACAGGAAAGGAAACUUAAUUUGCCUUAAAUGUGAAGAGGAGUAUUCUAUUUUACAGUUUGGACAGAUUGAGCUGAUUUUCGUGAAAGAUGAUGAGGUGACUUUCCUUGUGACUCCCCGCCCCUCAGUGUAUUUGCAUGAUUAUGGACUUUAUGAGAUUUUGUCUGCGACAAAGGAAUUAAUUUGUGUAAAAGCUGAGGAAUGUCUGGAUUAUUAUCCCUUAAAUGAGUACAGUUUUAUGGGACUGAAGGUCAUUACUCUGAAGCACAGCGUUGUUCAUCUGUAAAAAGGAUAAACCGUCCUCUCCCAACAGAAAUGGAUGCAUUGUUGACUUUUAUUGAGAAUGUGUUCCCAAACCCUAUAACUUCAAAGCUAGCCAUAGAGGGUUUGAACAGCCUAGGUGUGGAGACCAUAGAUGACCUACAGUUUUUGAAAGAUGAUGAUCUAGGUGGCUUUCUGAGACCGAUUGAAGCAAGAAAACUAAUAGCUCAAAUCCCAAGUAAGUUUUCAAAUCAAUGGUUGUUUUUACAUAUACACUAGUCAACAUUUGAAGCGGAUCAAAAAGUUCAUUAAGUUCACAAGAACAGGUAUUGGUUUUAAGACAACUAUUAUGAAAGGUUUGAUCCACUUGAAAUGUUGACUUGUGUACAUGCAUAUAAUUAGAUGAAACAACACCCCAGUCUCUUUCAUUCUGUACUUUGUUAGCUGUACUCUUUACUUGUAUUACAGUAUGUCAAUGUGUUUCUUGUUUCUGCAGUAUGGUUUUUAAUGCAGUUUUUUGUUUAUGCCAUGUAGAUAUUGCCUCCACUCUGCAAAACACUGCCAAUGAUUUGUCUGCUGAAUACAAUUCUAAUGCAUCAGGUUCACCUGCUCCUGGAUGCUCAGUUUCACCAUCCAGCGGAAGUGGAAGACGUGAGUAAAACGCUGAUACAACCCACAAAGCCCCAUGCCAUCUCUGUUUGUCCGUUAUUAAACUUCAAUAAAUCUGCAGCUUGGGAAUAGGCAAUUUUGCCAAAAAAUUACAGCUGCAUGAAAAGUGUUUAUCCUGUAACCUGUGGACAUUGGCUUAUCUUCUAGGUGACAGUAGCUGUGAAACUUCGUUUUAUGACCAUGACUGGCAUUAUAGUUUUGAUGUUCCAUGGCAAAAAAUGCCAGCAAGUUUUAUGGGAAAGUUGCAAAAUGGCGAAAGGCCAAGUUGCUCUGAGAGAAGACAGUUGGUCCGCAUUGUUGCUUCUGAGAUCCUGGAAGUCAGCAAAUGUCCAGCAAAAAAACAUGUCUCAGAAAUAGCCCGACAAAUGGUGAUUGCAUACCCAAAGUCUUUCAGAGAUGAGAUUAAUUCCCAGGUUGUAGGAAGUGGAUAUGAUUCUCUCCUCAAACAACUGGUGUGUAGAAUUGACAAUUUGAAAAGAGCAAAAGCUAUUAGUAUACCACUUUGUGGUACUCUAGAAGUAUCAACAAAGAAACGAAAAUUGUUAUAUGGUUGUAUAAAUUCUGAUCCACAACUGCUAGUUGGAGAAACAUCCGAAUUGCAGCAGGAAAAGAAAGAGAAGUUGGUAGUAAUGUUUCAAAAUAAUGAAAGUGAUGUAAAGACAAUCUAUGACUUAAUGACUUCUACAUACACCCCUCAAAGAAACAGCAUCCAAUCUGGAAAGGAAACCAAAGAUUUACUUGAUGAGUGGCCAUAUCUUUUUCAGCCAGCAGGAAUGAAAGCACACUUUAAAGAGCUCACUGGCAUUGACAUAAACAACAGCUUUGAAGAAUCUGCUUCCAGUAAGUUCAGAAGAAUAUUGGACUACUUUCAAUUUCAGUGCACAGAAAGAGCAAGCAGAGCAGGGAGAAUCCUCACAAAGUAUAGAGCUGGAGGGGAUCAUGUUUGUGGGGCCGUGAUGUUGCUGCUAACCCAUUUCAAAAAUGACCAAGACCACUUUCUUGUGAUGGUAGAAGACACCUCUGUUCCAAGUGAUAUAUGCUCAGAACAGCUUCCAGCAACACCAUGUAUAGUAGUGUGUGGAGAGAACCCACUGACAGCCAGUGUGUACAUGGUAGCAGUAGACCAGAUGAUUGUAAAUGACCAUCUCUUGAGUUUUACAGAAGCCCUGUAUCUGAUCUUCUCUCUUUACUAUAUAUUGAACAUCAGUUACCCUGUAGAACUGGGAGCCACACUAGAAUUCUUGCAAAGGUGCAUCUUUAGGAUAAAUCCUCAUAAAGGUACCAAGGUGGAAAAGAGAGAGAAAAAGAGAGCGUACUCUGUCAACCCCAGAGUAUUGAGUCUGACAUCAAAAAUUGCUGCAUUUGAUUGGGGAGAGUAACAGAUGUGGUCUUUCAGAAGAUUGACAUUUCGCUGAAGAACAGGACAGACCGACUUUUUGUACUUCAGUGCAGCGCUUUGUUGCUUAAAUCAUUUUUAUUACCUUGUGACGUGAUUAGGAUUUAGUUUAAAUUUAUUUAUUUAUUUGAUUGGGACAGUGCAUGUUAAUGAACAAACAUGGAAUACAUGCAUGUAAACAUGCUGGAUUGUAGCCAAAGGCUAAUUUCCAUCCGUAGUCCCACGGGCUAAAAUCACACUGGUCACAAAACAUUACAUAAUAAAAUUUACAUCUACAGUUAGUACAUCGUUUAUCAAUAAAUUAGCUAAAGCCCCAUAUACAAUAUUCACAUAAUACUUGAAAAUUCAUUCAACUUCAAAAUUAUCAGAAUCCAGGCCCAGUGUUUUUGUUUCUUUUAAACUGAACACAUUUGUGUUCUGAAACCUGCUUUAUCCAUUUUCUCCAUGUGACAUGUUCAGGAUUAUCAGAAUUAAUGUCGAUUUUUUUUUUUUUUUUUUUUUUUUUUUUUUAAAUUGAACAAAUUUGUUUUCUAAAACAUGACUUUUGCUGGGAAGUGUUUUUCCAUUGUUUGAUCUUGAAGGUUUGCUAUAUAAUAAAAAGCUGAAGUUGUUUACAGCAA